AGCUGCUGGUGUGGGAGAGGACAUUUGUCCCUUCAGGUCUGCGUGCCUCCUUGCUGAGGCUGCCAUGGGCAGUGUCAGGAUGGAGGAGAAAGGCAUUCCCUGGCGGCACGCACAGAACGUGUGACUGCGAGAUACCAGCGAGGCACUUCUCUACACUGGAGUUACAUUCCCAGGCUCCGUGUCACAGACCAGCCAGGACACCAUACUCUCAAGGAGAAGAAGCUGCAAUAUUUUGGAAGCAUCCUGCACACUGCAGAAUAUAGGUGGUUAAUGCAGGCACUUGAUAAAGUGUUUGUACCCCGAGAGCCUCUCCUAGGUGGAGGAACCAGACCAUGGAGAGCAUAAAGGAUUUGUCUAAAGGAUCAGCAAGUCAUUUUAAAGCAAGGAGUCCCCAUCUAUCUAGCCACCAGACAUUCAUCUUGUCCUGCAAACUUCCAGCUAGCUGAAUUGCUGCUUGACAGAAAUAUGUGUGUAUAUGUAAAUACAUAGCUAUGUUUCCCAAAGAAGAAAAGAAAGAACAGACCUUUACCUCUUUUUGCUGAGCCUGCACAGGUAGAGAGAGGAACAGGUAAAGUUGACUGAAGGGUGGGGUGAGCUUUAGCAGAGCCCUUUGGUCUUGCUGGAGCCCACCUCUCUGCCAGUGUUCGGCUCCCAGAAGAGAUCCUGAAGUGUCUGAGGGAGGACACUCCGGGCAGGGUGAGCAAACCCCAGCCAGCUCCCAGGAGCUCAGCCUGUGGUCUGACACUGUCUCACUGGCUGGAGAUCCCCUCCAGCCUGGAGGACCAGUGCUGGGGGAGACUUGCUCCUGAGCUGUUCCUGACAUGCACUGGCAGCUGUCUGCCUGCUAUUCUUUUAAAGGGUCUUCGUGGAUCAGGAUAAAAUGUGAUCUUACGCAGACGGCAUUGUAAGCACAACUUGGCUCAGGUUCAGCUCUUCCUCUGGCUCCCAGCUACUCUAUUUUUAUUGAAGGAAUUUGAGGCUAUCAGAAAGGAAGUCAAAUUGUUUUAGGAAAACAAUAGAAAAGCAACUUGAAGUUUAUUAGCUUCCUGCCCAGGGCCUGUGACCAACUUGUCAAACUUAUUAGCAUGAUGGCAGAACUAUUUAUUUAAAAGGGCUAGCUACAGGACCCACAAUUUCAUUCCUUUUUGGGCCUUAGUGAAAACAAAGGAAAGCCAUAAAAUAAUAUCUGAAGGGAGCAGAUGGCUAACUGGUAAAUGGUGUGAGUAAGGUUGGCCUGUGAGCCAUUUGUGGUGUUCACCAGAGCAAUGGCUUUUGUGCGAUUUGUUAUCAAAUGAAUACCUGGGCUUGCAAUCACAGGCCAGUCCCAUCACCCCUAAUUCCUUACUGUGGCUCAAAUUUUCAAGUGGAAGCCUCACACCUAAGAAAACAAAUUUGGCAGGAAAAGGUCUUCAUUUAGAGCUACUGAAAGGAGCGAAACAAUGCAGCAGGUCUGCAGAAGAGCCAGGAAUAGAGCCCAGGUGUCCCUGACCCUGUUGACCCUGUUGCUGGAGCCCCUCGACUGCAAAAAAUAUUUAUAUCCUUCAGAAGCAGCUGCAGUCCGCUUCCCCAUCCAGCUCCCCCAAAGCAGCCACACCAUGAAGUCACUGAAUGCAUGUUGGCAUGCGGCUGGUGAGAAGAAUGGGCAGCCAAACCAUCAGUCACGAGCACAAAGUGUCUGUGAGCCUGAGCCUUCCUGAGGAGCUGCAUUGUUUGCAACGAAAUGAGAAGAGAAUAAAACAGGACCCAGCAUGGUUUCUCAGAAACUUCUGGAAUGACAAUGGUUCCUACCCUGCUGGACGCAUGGAUGCUGGGGGACUUCUCACCCCAGAAGGCUGUGACAUGCAGCCAUGUGGUGCCAGUGCUGGCACUGAGUUCCUGGGAUGUGCUCUCCCAUCCUGGAGUUAAGGAAUUGUGCUGCUGCAAGAUCCCAGCUCUAAAUCUUGAGGCUUUAGGAAAAGUCUGGCAAGGUGGAAAGAAUCACAGGCACAUGUCUCUUCCUAAAGCAAGCUGGAGGGUAGAAGGACCUCAGCCUGCUCUAUACAUUCUCCACAGAGGGAAGAGAAAUCAGGACUUGCAUCUGCUCUGAAGGAAAAAAAUCUCUAGAGCUUUCCCUGGAAGUCAGCUUCAGAGGAAGAAACAGUUGAAAGGAUUUGAGGGAAAAGAGACACGUGCUUGGAUGAUGGUGAUGUCAAUAUGGGCUUGCACUGUGCAGAGACUCCUGGAUGAGCUCAUGCAGAAACCUGGGGAUAAAAUCUAACCAG